GGCGUGGGCGGUCUCCUCUAGUGCGCGUCGAACGGUCGCGCUGUCAGCUUGCUCUCUGGGUGGCGAGUGGCGGACGGGUGAGGAAUACAUCGGAAUCUACCUUUUCGUGGGGGAUAACGUAGGGAAACUUACGCUAAUACCGCAUACGACCUUCGGGUGAAAGCAGGGGACCUUCGGGCCUUGCGCGGAUAGAUGAGCCGAUGUCGGAUUAGCUAGUUGGCGGGGUAAAGGCCCACCAAGGCGACGAUCCGUAGCUGGUCUGAGAGGAUGAUCAGCCUAACUGGAACUGAGACACGGUCCAGACUCCUACGGGAGGCAGCAGUGGGGAAUAUUGGACAAUGGGCGCAAGCCUGAUCCAGCCAUACCGCGUGGGUGAAGAAGGCCUUCGGGUUGUAAAGCCCUUUUGUUGGGAAAGAAAAGCAGCCGGUUAAUACCCGGUUGUUCUGACGGUACCCAAAGAAUAAGCACCGGCUAACUUCGUGCCAGCAGCCGCGGUAAUACGAAGGGUGCAAGCGUUACUCGGAAUUACUGGGCGUAAAGCGUGCGUAGGUGGUUGUUUAAGUCUGUUGUGAAAGCCCUGGGCUCAACCUGGGAAUUGCAGUGGAUACUGGGCGACUAGAGUGUGGUAGAGGGUAGUGGAAUUCCUGGUGUAGCAGUGAAAUGCGUAGAGAUCAGGAGGAACAUCCAUGGCGAAGGCAGCUACCUGGACCAACACUGACACUGAGGCACGAAAGCGUGGGGAGCAAACAGGAUUAGAUACCCUGGUAGUCCACGCCCUAAACGAUGCGAACUGGAUGUUG
rnacentral:rRNA from 1 species